rnacentral:misc_RNA from 1 species
GAGCGUCAUUACAAACCUCAAGCAUUGCUUGGUUUUGGGCCUCGCCGUUAACCCGGCGGGCCUUAAAAUCAGUGGCGGUGCCGUCGAGGCCCUGAGCGCAGUAAAUAUCCUCGCUAUAGGGACCCGGCGGCUUCUGGCCAUUUUAACCCCCACUUUCUAAGUUUGACCUCGGAUCAGGUAGGGAUACCCGCUGAACUUAA